UCACCUUUAGUCUGGGCCAUAACUUGCUGACAGCCUGUCUAACGGACAUGGAAGAAGGAAGCUUGCUCUCUUUGCUGCUUGCUCUGGCUCUCACUGGCAAGUCCAUUCAUUCACUGGCAUUAGAGCCUACUUCUUCAGGAUCCUGGCAUAAACUGAGGGCUAGCUGAGACAUCCAUCCUCAUGGGCUGAACAACUACUGGAUUCUUGGAUCUUCAUUCUGUCAAGUUGGUCUCUGGUGUCCAUGGGGACGCUUGAGGAGAAGCCGAUUGCAUUGAGAUGUGUGGAAACAGGAUCAAUAAUGCUCAGUAACUGAGGAAGAUUACCAGAAGUCGACAAAGUCUAUAAGAGGGGCCAUGCAGAUCCACACCCGGGACUGUCGACACUUGGCGGGUGAUGGAGAAAGUCUAAUUUUGGCCAAAGAUGAAUCACUGUGCGUGGCUGUCACACCUCCUUUCGCCCUGUUCCAUUUUUGGAUCAGGAUAACUUGCCCAGCAGAGACUUGUCUAAUUUAAAUCCUGACUUACCUGAAUCAAAAUGAGUCAGAACUUGUAAACAAACCUGCCCCAAGGACAGGAGCUGCCUCGUUCUCCUCAUAGACUCUCUUCUCAGAACUGAGUCCUGUAUCUGGUAUGUGUGUCAGGGAGAAGGUACAUGCGAUAGGACUGGAUUUAGGUGGCCAGGGGAAGAAGAAACAUCACGAAGUUAGAGCAUUUUCCUAGCCAAGAGGAUGCAGAAGAGGCCACUUAAGACUUAUGUCAGUAUUAAUAGUCAUGUACUGAUUCUUUAAAAGGGGAGAGAACGGGGGUUCCAGAGACGGCUCAGCCCCCAGGAGCAUUUGUUGCUAUUGCAAAGGACCCAGGUUUGGCUCGAGAACCCAGAUGGUGGCUGGCAACCAACUGUAACUCCAGUUCUAGAGGAGCCAAAGCUUUCUUUUGACCUCGGUGGGCCUUGCGCACAUGUGGCGUAUGUCCACACAUGCAGGCAAAACACUUGUACAUAUAAAAUACAGUAAAUAAUUAAAAAAAAUAAUUUUAAAAGCAGAGAGUUACUCAGUGGGUUAAAAGUGGACGAAUAAAUAAAAAAUUCUAAGAGGACAUGAACUUGAAA